AUUACGUCCCUGCCCUUUGUACACACCGCCCGUCGCUACUACCGAUUGAAUGGCUUAGUGAGGCCCUCGGAUCGAUUUUCUGAGACUGGCAACAGUCUCUGAUUGUUGAGAAGUUGGUCAAACUUGGUCAUUUAGAGGAAGUAAAAGUCGUAACAAGGUUUCCGUAGGUGAACCUGCGGAAGGAUCAUUA
rnacentral:rRNA from 1 species